CGGGGCAGUGGAGACAGGUGGUGCAUGGUUGUCGUCAGCUCGUGUCGUGAGAUGUUGGGUUAAGUCCCGCAACGAGCGCAACCCUUACCUUCAGUAGCCAGCACAUAAUGGUGGGCACUCUGGAGGGACUGCCGGGGACAACCCGGAGGAAGGUGGGGACGACGUCAAAUCAUCAUGCCCCUUAUGGCCUGGGCUACACACGUGCUACAAUGGCGUAAACAGAGGGAGGCAGCCCCGCGAGGGUGAGCAAACCCCAAAAAUAACGUCCCAGUUCGGAUUGCAGUCUGCAACUCGACUGCAUGAAGCUGGAAUCGCUAGUAAUCGCGGAUCAGAAUGCCGCGGUGAAUACGUUCCCGGGUCUUGUACACACCGCCCGUCACACCAUGGGAGUUGGUAACGCCCGAAGUCAGUGACCUAACCGAAAGGGAGGAGCUGCCGAAGGUGGGACCAGUGACUGGGGUGAAGUCGUAACAAGGUAGCCGUAUCGGAAGGUGCGGUUGGAUCACCUC
rnacentral:rRNA from 1 species